ACGCUCGACACCUACGGGAGGGAGCAGUGGGGAAUAUUGCACAAUGGGGGAAACCCUGAUGCAGCGACGCCGCGUGAAGGAUGAAGUAUUUCGGUAUGUAAACUUCUAUCAGCAGGGAAGAAAAUGACGGUACCUGACUAAGAAGCCCCGGCUAACUACGUGCCAGCAGCCGCGGUAAUCUGAGCGGGCUGGCAAGGC
rnacentral:rRNA from 1 species